rnacentral:tRNA from 1 species
UGGUGCAAAUGGUUAACACAUUUGGCUGCUAACUAAAAGACUGGUGAUUCAAAUCCACC